CGGCGUUCACGGAACAAGCCGGCUGGGCGCGCUUUCAGACUGCCAGUGCCGUGAGGACAGCUGAGGAUGAGGACCCAUUCCAGAGUAAAGAGAGUAAAGAGCACAGCAGGCGAGCCAAGAUCUGAUCCUGAACGAACCGGGAAAUAUGCACGCGAGAUAUUACUGAGCUGAGAUCUAGACACGGACUUCGGAGUAGAGAACACUGCUGCGUCGGCGUUAAGCUUCCGGAACUGGAUCAUUCCAUCACGGAUAUGUAAAAACUUUUCUUGUUUUUAGGGGAUACACACAGAAUUAUUUAGGGGUAAAAGUCAAGGGAUUUCAAAUCAUUUAACAAGCUUAAUAAGAAGGAGGAGGAGGAAAAGAAGUGUGUAAUGGGGGUGAAAGUGAAAAUCACUUAGUCGUGUCCACCUCUUUGCGACCCCAUGGACUGUAUAAUCCGUGGAUUCUCCCGGCCAGAAUACUGGAGUGGGUAUCCUUUCCUUUCUCCAGGGGAUCUUUCCAACCCAGAAAUCAAACCAGGGUCUCCUGCAUUGCAGGCGGACUCUUUACUAAGCUGAGCUAUGAGGGAAGCCCUCAUGGGACUGGUGGAGCAGAUAGAAGGAAAAAAACAAAGAAAAGACUGCAAAAAGUUAACACUGGUGAAUCUAGGUAAAUGGUAUAAGGAAAUUCCAUUACAUUAUACUUGCAUCUUUCUACAAAUUUCGGAGUUUUUCCAAAAUAAAAUAUUUUGUAAAACAUGAGCAAAAAAGAAAAAGCAAGAGAUGUGUAUGAGACGACAAGCUGAUGGCAGGAUGGAUUUGCUGCAGAGGAUUCACCCCCUUCUGUGGGGAGCAGGCUGGCCCCGACAUUCUCCGCCUGCAGUGCUGGGCUGGGUUCCUAUAUUACCGAAGGCCCCAAGGUGUGACCACCAAUCACGCGUCCACGGCAAAGACAGAGUGCCGAUUUGACGAAUUUACUAUUAAAAAAAAAAAAAAAAAAAAACUCCUGCUAUGCUACCUGGGGCUUGCCUGAUAGCUCAGUUGGUAAAGAAUCUGCCUGCGAUGCAGGAGACCUCAGUUCGAUUACUGGGUUGGGAGGAUUCACUGGAGGAGGGAACGGCUACUCACUCCAGUGUUCUGGCCUGGAGAAUCCAUGGGGUCACAAAGAUCGGACACGACUGAGCGACUCUCACUUUCACUUUCUUAUGCUACCUACCAAUCGGGAAGAAUAGGUAACUGGUUAAGUGCAAAAAGUUAAUGAAAGCAGCAAACCAUUUUCAAAAAUGACACAUACAUGGCUUAAAUACUUCUUUUUCCCUUGAAACUGUGUGCACUUUCUGUGAGUGGGUGUUUGCCAAUUGGAGUUACAUGUUGUUUUCCUUGAAUCAAGAACAUUCAUACAACUCAUACAUCACCAAUUAUUUCCAGAUUUAGUUUGUUUAAAGUUGAAAGUGCAUUUGUUCUAGAUGUUUACUUCUUUUAAUCAUUUACAGGUAUCUUACCC
ensembl:lncRNA